CUAGUUGGUGGGGUAAAAGCCUACCAAGGCGACGAUCUGUAGCGGGUCUGAGAGGAUGAUCCGCCACACUGGAACUGAGACACGGUCCAGACUCCUACGGGAGGCAGCAGUGGGGAAUUUUGGACAAUGGGGGCAACCCUGAUCCAGCCAUGCCGCGUGAGUGAAGAAGGCCUUCGGGUUGUAAAGCUCUUUCAGCCGGGAAGAAAUCGUACAGGCUAAUACCCUGUGCGGAUGACGGUACCGGAAUAAGAAGCACCGGCUAACUACGUGCCAGCAGCCGCGGUAAUACGUAGGGUGCGAGCGUUAAUCGGAAUUACUGGGCGUAAAGCGUGCGCAGGCGGUUUUGUAAGACAGGCGUGAAAUCCCCGGGCUUAACCUGGGAACU
rnacentral:rRNA from 1 species